UCCAGACUCCUACGGGAGGCAGCAGUGAGGAAUAUUGGUCAAUGGCCGAGAGGCUGAACCAGCCAAGUCGCGUGAGGGAUGACGGCCCUACGGGUUGUAAACCUCUUUUGUCGGGGAGCAAAGAGAGUCACGUGUGGCUCAUUGAGAGUACCCGAAGAAAAAGCAUCGGCUAACUCCGUGCCAGCAGCCGCGGUAAUACGGAGGAUGCGAGCGUUAUCCGGAUUUAUUGGGUGUAAAGGGUGCGUAGACGGGAAAUUAAGUUAGUUGUGAAAUCCCUCGGCUCAACUGAGGAACUGCAACUAAAACUGAUUUUCUUGAGUGCAGGAGAGGUAAGUGGAAUUCCUAGUGUAGCGGUGAAAUGCGUAGAUAUUAGGAGGAACACCAGUGGCGAAGGCGACUUACUGGACUGUAACUGACGUUGAGGCACGAAAGUGUGGGGAGCAAACAGGAUUAGAUACCCUCGUA
rnacentral:rRNA from 1 species